CAGCAAUAUACACUACAAAGAACACCAAAAUGAAUUUUUCUUUCAAACUGGCAUUCUUAUUAGUUAUUUUCGUCAUUUCAUCCGAUAUGUGUAUUGAAUCUGAAGCAAGAUUAGGAGGUGUAGUAGAUUCAGGUUGUCCUAAAAUUUGUCACGUCAAAGAAGGUGCUACUUGUUUGAACAACUUUUGUGUGUGUCAAAAAGACCCGGUUGGUCCAAUUAGACAUUGUUGCAACUCAUGUGUUGGACCCUUGUGUUACUGUCCACCAAACUGUAAUAUGUGUGGUUGAGCUCUAGUUAUAAUUAAUAUUGUAAACUGAGUAUUGGGAAUUUUAUGAUGUAUGAAUAAAAUAAAAUUUUCUCUUUUAAA